UACAUGCAAGUCGAACGCACUUUCGUUGAAUGAAUUAGAGGUGCUUGCACCGAAGAUGAUUUUAGCUAUAAAGUGAGUGGCGAACGGGUGAGUAACACGUGGGUAACCUGCCCAGAAGUGGGGGAUAACACCUGGAAACAGAUGCUAAUACCGCAUAACAAAGUAAACCGCAUGGUUUACUUUUAAAAGAUGGCUUCGGCUAUCACUUCUGGAUGGACCCGCGGCGUAUUAGCUAGUUGGUGAGAUAAAGGCUCACCAAGGCAGUGAUACGUAGCCGACCUGAGAGGGUAAUCGGCCACAUUGGGACUGAGACACGGCCCAGACUCCUACGGGAGGCAGCAGUAGGGAAUCUUCCACAAUGGACGAAAGUCUGAUGGAGCAACGCCGCGUGAGUGAUGAAGGCUUUAGGGUCGUAAAACUCUGUUGUUGGAGAAGAACGUGUGUGAGAGUAACUGCUCAUGCAGUGACGGUAUCCAACCAGAAAGCCACGGCUAACUACGUGCCAGCAGCCGCGGUAAUACGUAGGUGGCAAGCGUUAUCCGGAUUUAUUGGGCGUAAAGCGAGCGCAGGCGGUCUUUUAAGUCUAAUGUGAAAGCCUUCGGCUUAACCGAAGAAGUGCAUUGGAAACUGGAAGACUUGAGUGCAGAAGAGGACAGUGGAACUCCAUGUGUAGCGGUGAAAUGCGUAGAUAUAUGGAAGAACACCAGUGGCGAAGGCGGCUGUCUGGUCUGUAACUGACGCUGAGGCU
rnacentral:rRNA from 1 species